GGGAAUGAGCAAGUACUUGACCAAGUCCUCAGUAGGCUGAAAAAUCAAAUUGAUGCAUGUUUGUAAACAAUAGCUAUGAGAAGGUUGUAGUGCUCUGUCAUUCUAUGUGGGUGAUUUAUUUCCUCCACUUCCUUUAAUGAGAUAAAGAUCUCUAUCUUAAGGAGACUGCAGUGGUCCAGAGUGCAGUGCAAAACACAUCAAAGUAAUCAUUAACAUUGGGUGCUUGUUGGUGUGCCGAGGGCUGUUUGUGG
rnacentral:lncRNA from 1 species